GUCUAUUUGGAGAUGUAAAUAGUCAAGCCUGCUCACUGAAUUUAUAUUUGAAGAGCCGCGGUAUUCUGACCGUGCGAAGGUAGCAUAAUCAUUAGCUUUUUAAUUGAAAGCUGGAAUGAAAGGUUAGACAAAAAGAAAUCUGUCUUUGAUUUAAUUUUAAAAUUUAAUUUUUAAGUGAAAAAGCUUAAAUGGUUAAGGAAGACGAUAAGACCCUAUAAAGCUUUAUAUGAGAGAGAAAGUUAAUUGAAUUAUAUAUAAAAGUUUGUUUUGAGUAUUGUAUUGUAUUGGGGCGAUAAAAGUAUAAUUUGUUUAACUGCUAAGUAAAAUUACAUUGAUAGGUGGUAAGAUAUAUUAGAAGAUCCUUGUUAAAGAUUAAAAGAACAAGUUACUUUAGGGAUAACAGCGUUAUUUUUUUUAAGAGUUCAUAUCGAAAAAAGAGUUUGCGACCUCGAUGUUGAAUUAAAAUGUCUGUAUGAUGAAGCGGUUAUAUAAGAAGGUCUGUUCGACCUUUAAAUUUUU
rnacentral:rRNA from 1 species